UUGCUCACUUUGGCAGCAUGUAUACUAGAAUUGGAACAAUAGAGAAGAUUAACAUAGCCACUGUGCAAGCAUGAUAUGCAAAUCCAUGCAGCAUUUAUAUUUUUU
ensembl:snRNA U6 U6 spliceosomal RNA